rnacentral:rRNA from 1 species
GAUGAACGCUGGCGGCGUGCUUAACACAUGCAAGUCGAGCGAGAAGUUUUGAAAAGAUUCUUCGGAUGAAAUUUAAAAGGGAAAGCGGCGGACGGGUGAGUAACGCGUAGGCAACCUGCCCCAUACAAAGGGAUAGCAUUUGGAAACGAAUAUUAAUACCUUAUGAAACUUAACUAGUGCAUGCUAGGUAGGUCAAAGAUUUAUCGGUAUGGGAUGGGCCUGCGUCUGAUUAGCUAGUUGGUGAGGUAACGGCUCACCAAGGCGACGAUCAGUAGCCGACCUGCGAGGGUGCACGGCCACAUUGGAACUGAGACACGGUCCAAACUCCUACGGGAGGGAGCAGUGGGGAAUAUUGCACAAUGGGGGAAACCCUGAUGCAGCAACGCCGCGUGAACGAUGAAGGCCUUUGGGUCGUAAAGUUCUGUUCUAGGUGAUGAAAACUGACAGUAACCUAGGAGAAAGCCCCGGCUAACUCCGUG